rnacentral:piRNA from 1 species
UGCCACUUACAUGCUUUUAAAGGAUCUU